rnacentral:sRNA from 1 species
UAGCCAUAAUUUCACCUCUCUAUCAGGUGGUUUGUGGUUAGGGCGGGGGUGGUACGCCAAUACCGUCCCCGCCCGCUU